rnacentral:rRNA from 1 species
GACGUAGGCUGCAAGCGUUAUCCGGAAUUAUUGGGCGUAAAGAGUUUGUAGGUGGUUUGUUAAGUUGGAUGUCAAAGCCUUGAGCUCAACUCAAGACAGGUGUCCAAAACUGACAGACUGGAGACAGGUAGAGGCAGGUGGAAUUCUGUAUGUAGGGGUAAUAUCCGUAGAUAUGCAGAGGAACACCAAAAGCGAAGGCAGCCUGCUGGACCUGUUCUGACACUCAAGAACGAAAGCGUGGGGAGCAAACGGG